rnacentral:lncRNA from 1 species
GAUCCCCACAUUUUUGCCAGGGCCAUAAUGAAUGCAAUUCUUUCUCCUAAGGAAUCUGGUGGCAACUGUCAAAUGUUAAGCACAAAGCUUCAGGUUGUACCUAUAACACACACCCACAUCGCAACCUACCCGACAGGCUAUUUCUGGGUGUGAUUUCAUGCACCUGCACAUGAUGAGACAGGAGACCUCUUUGGCUACUUAUAGGAACUGGUGUGAUUUCUCAGUAAUCUUUAAUGGGUAAUAUUGCUGACUGAGGAGAAUUUGAGGUAGGAUGAAACAUUUCUGUGCAGGGAUUGGGGAGGAAGCACUCAUUUAGAUACAUAGCAAUGACUUAGGUUUUUCCAAUCCAGCCUAGAGCCAAAUUUGGCUUUGGAAGCAUGUGGUGCUCAGUGGCAUGCCACAGGGAAGUCUCCUGAAAAGGGCACAUCAGCUUUUGCUCAGUACAGGGAGAACAUUAGCAGGGAGGCAAAGUCUGUUUUCCGUGACAUCAGCCGUCCCUUCGUGGACAUUCUAUUGUCUCCUAGAGAGACCUUGGAAUCCCUGUGAUGUCACCAGUAUCGUUGUGACAACCAAUUCCCUACUUUUUCUCUUAGUGUCCAAAGGAUAUAUCCACAGACAUGUUUGCCCGUCUUCUCAGGCGCUUUGGGAGAGUUGAUGUUGGUAGAGAAGAGUCUAGAGUGAAGCAAACGGAACCUAAAGGUAAUGAUGGACACAGGACAUGGGGAAUGUGGAAGGCCUGCAGACAGACGUCAUCCCCUGAAAAUGUCCUAAACAAGGUGCAGGCCAACGAGGAAGAGGAGAGGCUGAAUAGAGAACUGGAGCUAACUACCAAGGAGAGAAAUGAGCUGACAGAUCGCCUCCUUUAUGUGACAGGUGGAUCCAUGGAUUCNNNNNNNNNNNNNNNNNNNNNNNNNNNNNNNNNNNNNNNNNNNNNNNNNNNNNUUGACCCCUUUUGUAACUUCACAUGAGAGGCUUGUGCUUUUUGUGUUUUUUAUUUUUGUGUUUUUUUUCUUAUUUAUUUAUUUAUUUAUUUAUUUAUUGCUUUAUAUGUAGUCAGGAAGAUAGUUCAAGUCAUGGAUCUGCCCCCAAAAUCUGAGCUUUGCCACUAAUACUGUAAACAGUAUUAGUGUAUGCAUUCAAUAAAAUAACUGGUUUUUUUUUUUUUUAGUACAAUAGAUGCUUUUGUGUUUUGUGGGGUGAUCCAUGAAACAGGAGUGAACAUGAUUGUUUCUUACUCUGUCCACUGAGUUAUAUCUCUAGGCUUGUCCUACUCCUUUGGCUGCAUCCCCCCACACACACACAUCUGCUGACUAUUUUAUUUUUCAGAUGAAAUCAUACGUUAUAGCUUAGAGAGGCCUGUAAACAAUCCUGCUUUGGUAACUUAGGUGCAGAGAGGAGAGCCCCACACUCAGCCUGAGGGUGCAUUCACUGGUGGAUCCAAUAUUUCAGUUUCCUCUGCUAACAGAUCACCACAUUGUUGCCAGGACCAUAAUGAAUGCAAUUCUUUCUCCUAAGGAAUCUGGUGGCAACUGUCAAAUGUUAAGCACAAAGCUUCAGGUUGUACCUAUAAUACACACCCACAUCGCAACCUACCCUACAGGCUAUUCUGGGUGUGAUUUCAUGCACCUGCACAUGAUGAGACAGGAGAAUUCUUUGGCUACUUAUAGGAACUGGUGUGAUUUCUCAGUAAUCUUUAAUGGGUAAUAUUGCUGACUGAGGAGAAUUUGAGGUAGGAUGAAACAUUUCUGUGCAGGGAUUGGGGAGGAAGCACUCAUUUAGAUACAUAGCAAUGACUUAGGUUUUUCCAAUCAAGCCUAGAGCCAAAUUUGGCUUUGGAAGCAUGUGGUGCUCAGUGGCUAUGCCACAGGGAAGUCUCCUGAAAAGGGCACAUCAGCUUUUGCUCAGUACAGGGAGAACAUUAGCAGGGAGGCAAAGUCUGUUCUCCAUGACAUCAGCAGACCCUUCG